rnacentral:tRNA from 3 species
GCCAGGAUGGCCGAGUGGUUAAGGCGGUGGUUUUAAGCACCACUAUCGCGAGAUUCCAGGGUUCGAACCCCUGUCCUGGCA